rnacentral:rRNA from 1 species
UACAGAGGGUGCGAGCGUUAAUCGGAAUUACUGGGCGUAAAGGGUGCGUAGGCGGUCGGGUAAGUCUGAUGUGAAAUCUCACAGCUUAACUGUGAAACUGCAUUGGAUACUAUCCGGCUUGAGAGUUGGAGGGGGGACUGGAAUUCUUGGUGUAGCAGUGAAAUGCGUAGAUAUCAGGAGGAACACCGGUGGCGAAGGCGGGUCUCUGGGCAACAACUGACGCUGAGGAGCGAAAGCGUGGGGAGCGAACAGG